AUGCGUCAAUAUUGGUGGGGUGUUGAAAAGGGGAAGCAUAAAAUGGCCUGGCUCAGUUGGGACAAGAUGAGAUUACCGAAACUUAUGUGUGGUAUGGGUUUUCGCGAUAUGAGGGCCUUCAAUCAAGCGUUGCUGGCCAAACAAGCUUGGCGUCUUGUCGACACACCAGAGAGUUUGUGUGCGAGGCUACUAAAGGCGAAAUAUUUUCCUUCCGGGAACUUGCUGGACUCGGUGUUCUCCAAUAACGGUUCAGCCGUUUGGAAAGGAAUAUUGCACGGUCUUGAUCUACUUAAAGGAGUUAUCCAGCGAGUGGGGAAUGGGGCGCUCAUACGUACCUGGAGGGAUCCUUGGAUUCCA
rnacentral:rRNA from 1 species